rnacentral:misc_RNA from 1 species
CUUCUUCUAUACCAAUGGAGUAGCCUAAACCCCAAUAUACAUCUUCCACCUCCAACAGCACACGAAAAUUUUACUAUUUCGAUAUGCCUAUUUCGUAUAAUCACAAUUGGAAAUGGAAAUUCUAACUUUUACAUCGUACUCACUAACCAAAACCGGAAAAAUAAGUGUACAAAACACCCGUUCCCACAUAACGUCGAGCACAUAGCGCACGCUCUACAAAGCUGGCCUGGCCUAACGGUAGAAGACGACGGGCGGGACGGCGAACCCGGAAUCGUUGAGGAACGGGACAACCUGCGGAUGCUCGGAGAGGUCGUGGUAGAAAGCGUACUCCGCUUCGUAGUCGUGGAGGUCCAGCUCCGCCUUUUGGUUGCUGUGGUAAUGGUGCUUGGCGUCGGAAGACUUGCCGAAGCCGAACACGCUGACUCUGUCACACACUCCCACCGCGACCAUGAUGGCCUGCAUCCCGGACGAGUAAUGGAACAUGGCGGCGUCGUGCGCGCGGUCCCACUCCUCGGGCGCGCGGCCGGUCUCGGCGACGAAUCGGCGGAGGGAGUAGUACUUGACGAUGCGCGCGCAGAGGACGUCGAGGCGGGCGUCGGUGACGGAGAUGGGGGAGCCGUGGCGGGUGGACGAGGUGGCGUUGCAGGCGGCGACGUCGAGGAAAUGGGCGGCCUGGCAGAUGUAGAGCAGGAUGGGGACGCCGUGGCCGUAGGGGUGGCAGAAGCAGCCGGGCCGGCGCGCGCAGAGGUGGAGGAUGUUGCUGUUGAUGAAGGAGAAGUUGGUCUUGCUGCCGACGUGCGCGGCGUAGCCUGAGACGCGGGCGUUGUUGAGGCGGAAGACGGCGGCGUGGGAGUCGAUGAAGUCGCCGUGGCUGGCGCGCAGGAGGAUGCCGCUGUUGCCGACGACGGCGCAGGAGGGGAUGCGCCCGGGGAUGGAGAGCAGGGACGCGAGGCUGCCGAGGACGGAGGGGUCGUAGCGGCGGAGGCGGUGCCAGGAGCUGAGGUCGCGGCGGAGGGCCGGGUCGAUGUGGAGCUGCUCGUGGCGCGGGAGCGGGUGGAGCAGGGUGUCGUGGUCGUCGUCUGGGCGGCGGCCGCGGCGCGGGAGCGAGAGGCCGUGGUGGCGGUGGAGGUGGAGCGGGUGCAGGAGCCGGUCGUGACGCCACGCGCGGGCCCGCGCGGCGGAGGCCGGGAGGCGGCCCUCGAGGAGCUCGUCCACGUCCCGCCGCAGCGACGCCUCCGAGGGAUCGGCUGCGGCCAGGCGGAGCAGCGUGGCGUUGAGGCGCGGCGGCGGCGGCUCCCACGCGGGCGCCGGCGCCACGGCGCGACGGAGCGCGGUGGAGAAGGAGGCCGCGCCGACGAGCACGACGAAGAUGAGCACCGCGAAGGAGCGCCGCAGCGGCCGCUUCAUCGCCGCCUCGGGCGCAGCCCCGGCCUGGGGCUAGCUGGGUCGUAGCCGCCGCAUCCGCAUCCGCAUGGGUGCACGGCUGCACGCGCAGCAGGCAGAGGAGGAGGACAGGGAGCAGGGGGGUUCCGGGUUCGUGUCUGUGCGACCGAGCCGCGCUGAGCACUGUCCGAGUGGCGGAGUGAGCGCGGGCGCGGGCGCGUGGGCGCAGCGAGUUCUUUCUUUAUCGGUCGCCGUGCUAACGAGCUUUCUUUAUAGGAGUGUGCUGUGCUAUUCAUGGUUGGUUGGACUUGGGGUUCGGGCAGACGGGGGAUCCAAUGUGCCCUGCUCCGGUUCGUGCAUCGAGCGGAGUAAUCAUCAGUUUGCGUGGGUGGCGGCGGCGGCCACCGUGCCCGCACGAUGUGACAUGUGGGCCUUCACCAGCUGCCAAUCUGCCCCUGCUCGGCACUCGGCAAGCGAGAUGGGAUGGGAGUGGGACUUUGGGAGCAAGAAACUCCAAGGAGAGUGAAUUGAGCAUACCAUUGCGUGAGCUUUCGUUGAUUCGAGGAAGGCACGCAUGGCGUUGCCGGAGUUAACGAACGCAUGGCGUUGCCGGAGUUAACGAAGUUCCGCCAAACAAAGUAAUG